rnacentral:rRNA from 1 species
UACGGAGGAUGCAAGCGUUAUCCGGAUUCAUUGGGUUUAAAGGGUGCGUAGGCGGACUAUUAAGUCAGUGGUGAAAGCCUGCAGCUUAACUGCAGAACUGCCAUUGAUACUGAUAGUCUUGAGUUUGGUUAAGGUAGGCGGAAUGUGUAAUGUAGCGGUGAAAUGCUUAGAUAUUACACAGAACACCAAUUGCGUAGGCAGCUUACUGAGCCGACACUGACGCUGAGGCACGAAAGCGUGGGGAUCGAA